AUUUCCUCUCAUGGCAUGUCCUCAUAUUACCUGCGCCGUUUCCACGUUUAAUCUCGCGAGUUUAACACACGCGCUCACGUGACCCGCUGCAGCCAACCGCGCUCUAUAAAAUCCAGCAUUCCGAGAUGGCUGCCAGGUGCGGUGGCUAAGCCUGGGGACAUAUGAAGCCGGUGCCGAACAUCAGGGACGUGUUGCGACGAGAGAGUGUGUCGAUGAUAAGAUAUUAAGCCGAGUUGCCCUUGCAGGCCCUGCGGCGAGAGCCACAGCAUCUCCACCAGGUUGUACUGGCAGUAGCCCAUCCAGAAGCCGAACGCCACGUCGGUCACGUUGUGGCGGCCCAGCAUGACGCGGCUCAGCCCCACCGUGCCCACCCACAGCAGCACCAGGACCCUCAGCGGGGCGGCCAGCACCAGGUGCGCCAGCAGGAAGCG